rnacentral:rRNA from 1 species
GUCUAUGGCCAUUCCACCCCGAACGCACCCGAUCUCGUCCAAUGUCGGAAGCUAAGCAAGGUCGGGCCUGGUUAGUGCUUGGAUGGGGAGACCGCCUAGGAAUACCAGGUGCUGUAGAUG